GCGACGCUGGCGGUGUGCCUAGUACAUGCAGUCGAGCGGAUCGAUGGGAGCUUGCUCCCUGAGAUCAGCGGCGGACGGGUGAGUAACACGUGGGUAACCUGCCUGUAAGACUGGGAUAACUCCGGGAAACCGGGGCUAAUACCGGAUAACACCUACCCCCGCAUGGGGGAAGGUUGAAAGGUGGCUUCGGCUAUCACUUACAGAUGGACCCGCGGCGCAUUAGCUAGUUGGUGAGGUAAUGGCUCACCAAGGCGACGAUGCGUAGCCGACCUGAGAGGGUGAUCGGCCACACUGGGACUGAGACACGGCCCAGACUCCUACGGGAGGCAGCAGUAGGGAAUCUUCCGCAAUGGACGAAAGUCUGACGGAGCAACGCCGCGUGAGUGAAGAAGGUUUUCGGAUCGUAAAACUCUGUUGUUAGGGAAGAACAAGUGCCGUUCGAAUAGGGCGGCGCCUUGACGGUACCUAACCAGAAAGCCACGGCUAACUACGUGCCAGCAGCCGCGGUAAUACGUAGGUGGCAAGCGUUGUCCGGAAUUAUUGGGCGUAAAGCGCGCGCAGGUGGUUUCUUAAGUCUGAUGUGAAAGCCCACGGCUCAACCGUGGAGGGUCAUUGGAAACUGGGGAACUUGAGUGCAGAAGAGGAAAGUGAAUUCCAAGUGUAGCGGUGAAAUGCGUAGAUAUUUGGAGGACAC
rnacentral:rRNA from 1 species